AGCAAAGUGAUCAGGUGUAUGACAGUAACAACCCCACUCCUCGAACCAGGUGUCUGCACUAAUUACUCUUCCUCAUUGUUAUUACCUGGUGAAAAUCAAUUUGAGAAAGGAAGGGUUUAUUUGGGUUUACCAUCCAUGAGGCAUGCCAACAAGAGCAUCCAUGAGGCAUGACAACAAGAGUGUUAGGCAGCUUGUCACAAUGUGUGCAGUGAAGAAGAGAGUUCACAGAUCACCGAAACUGAAAAGAUAUUUCUCCAAAGAAGAACGACUAACAAGUAUUUGGGGGAGGGAGUUCAAUUUCACCGAUCAAUAGGGAAAUGGAAAUUAAAACUAUGAGACACCACACCACACCGUACAUGUUGGAAAGCCCUGAAGAUAAGUGUUGGCAAGGGGGUGGAGAAUAGAGAUCCCUUAAGCAUUUGUGGAAAUGUAGGCCAAGUCUUCCCACAUACAUAAUGAAAAUUGGAAGAACCCAAGUGCCCAUCUCUGGAUCAAUAUGUGAUGAUGAAAUUUAAUAACAUGCUACCUACAUUUAAGUCUAAGAAAGUCAAAAGUUUAUUAACCACAGUCAUUGUGUCCUAGAAGAAAAUACACAAAUAUUUUGUCACUUUAUGAGCCUAAUGACAAGACAUUAUCUCUAACCUCCAGAACAUUCAAAAUUGUGAUUGAGGAACACUAGGGCUGAAGAUGUGAAUUGGGUGAGAAUUAAAGAUAAUCUGUACUUGUUUUUCACGGCGAAGCGUCUAACCUAGUAUGAGUAACUAACUUGAGAGGGACGAUGUAAGUAUGUCUUCUUGGUGAGUGAGCAUGCUCUCGCCAGAAGCGAAGCUAUCAUCUUGUAACAUGAAGCAGAAGUUGAAGGGCACAAUGCAGCCUGCUCUGGGUAGAACAGAAUCCAGGAAAAGCGCCCAGUUUCCUGGGAGGCUCCUGAUGAGCAGUCCCACAGUGCUGCCCGGGCCAGUCUGUAGUACACUUCCUUGAUUGGUGACUGAGGGGGAAAGGCUCAGCUUGUGGAGAGCUGUGCCACCCAGAAGCUGAAUGGUAUAAGAAAGCCAUCUGAGCAAGACAUGGAAAGCGAGCCAGCAAUCAGCACUCCUCCAUGGCCUCUGCAUCAUUUCCCACCUCCAGAUACUUGCUUUGAGGUUCUACCUUGGACAGUGGACUAAAAACUAUAUGGUAAAAUAAAAUCUUGCCUUCCAAGUUGCUUUUGGCCAUGGUGCUUUAUCACAGCAAUGGGAACUCUAAGACACACAGCAAGCACCGUUGCC
rnacentral:lncRNA from 1 species